GAGUUUGAUCGUGGCUCAGAUUGAACGCUGGCGGCAUGCCUUACACAUGCAAGUCGAACGGCAGCACGGGAGCUUGCCCCUGGUGGCGAGUGGCGAACGGGUGAGUAAUGCAUCGGAACGUAUCCUGGAGUGGGGGAUAACGUAGCGAAAGUUACGCUAAUACCGCAUAUUCUGUGAGCAGGAAAGCGGGGACCUUCGGGCCUCGCGCUCUUGGAGCGGCCGAUGUCGGAUUAGCUAGUUGGUGAGGUAAAGGCUCACCAAGGCGACGAUCCGUAGCAGGUCUGAGAGGAUGAUCUGCCACACUGGAACUGAGACACGGUCCAGACUCCUACGGGAGGCAGCAGU
rnacentral:rRNA from 1 species